rnacentral:lncRNA from 1 species
CUGCUCUCCUAUUUGCCAAAACAGGUUCCAAGCCUGGAAGAGGCAGAUAGGUUUACCCUGUUAAAAAGAAUUUACUACAUGAACAGACUGCAUUUUCCUGACCAAGGUGGACGCCCCUGAUUGAAGGAGGCAACUAGAGAUAAGGAUGGCAGCUCCGCAGUGAGAAGGCAGACUAGGAGUGCUGGUCCAGUGCUUCCACCGCCAACAAAUACAGGGGUGAGAGGUCUCAGGUCAUAAAUUAUUUAACGUGCAAACUAGAAAAAGCAGCGCAGAAACGUGAAACGCUAGCUGUAACGAUAUUCUGCGCAACCUGGCUGAUAAUACCAACUACAACACCAACGCCACCAGCUGGUGAACACCCGUAGUAAGGAGGAUACAUGAGCUGUGAAUGGCUUCGCCUCCUUGGGGAGCUCUUGAGAGUGACUGAGGCUGCUCCCUGUGCUCCUCCCUAGACUUACAUUUCAGCUCUCAGACGGUAGGUGUGUGCUCAUUGCGAGUUAACUGCGUAGUGUACAGAUGCAGUUUUGCACAGUCAUCUCUUUCUGGUGCUUGGCACCUUUGUCAAAAGCCACUGGAGCCCACGUAUGCAGCAUCUAAACGUUUUGUAUUUUCUUUUUAUUUCUCUGUAGAGCCAAACAAAUGAAAAAUAAAUCUAUUCAAAGAUGCAGGGGAAAAAAACACUGGAGCAUGUAUGAUGGAUUACUUCAUUAAUAAUAAAUGUUGAGUACUUUGUGGUUCCAUUUUCCAGGCAGAACAUCUACUUCAGGAACUUCAAGAACAUUUUCAAGCUCUCACUGCAGCCUUAAACCUGAGAAAUAUCCUCUUCUGUCUUUGGUAAACACUAAUGCUUUUGGACAGGCACAUCUCCAUUGUCUUCUGCUGUGGACAAAUAGUUGUUUAUUUGGAUUCUCCAGUAUUUACACUUGCCCUUCUAAGGGGCUUUUCCUGUGCUGUCAAUGCCAGAGGUCUGUGGCAAGUGUGAAGUUCAAGGGCACCACUCUGCUCCUGACCACCUGGACAACCUGGUCUGCAACAGUUAGAGGACGGUGCUCAAGUCCAAUAGGAGGCUAGACACUGCUGUGCCUUUGCUUUGUUUUGACUUCCCCGGCUCACUCUUUUAUUUCAGAAACACAAAUGUUACAAAAUUAACACAGAAUGUUUCCAAUGAGUAAGUUCAGGUAAGGGCAAAAAGUGCAUUAAAACUUGCCCAAUUUGAGCUCACUUUAUUCAACUAAGUGCAUUCCUUAAACAUUGUGCAAAGUAUUUACAUUUGGAAGUGCUUACCUGCAGCUUUUGAUUUUACCAACAAGGUAAAACAUGAUAACACGAUAAAUUAAACCAUAGAGUUGUUUUAAAAGUUAAAUUUCCAUUAUAUUAUGCUCAGAGUUUGGCAGGUUUAAAAGCCAAGUUUCUCACUUCAAGGUUCAAGAUACACACUAAAAGGGACUCAGGAGGCAGCAAAUUUGCAUUGACCCUUCAUUUUACAAGUUCCUCUCUGUGGAGAAGGUAUGGCCUUGAGGGCGUGUCUGUGGUCACUCUGCACCCCAGACCUACAUGUGCAGUUUUCCUUGACGUGGCACUGGAAGACAUGGGGAAUCGCAU